UGUGCUCUUCCUGUUGCCCGGGUGGAGACGGGGCACCUCCAGGGACCUUCGUGGGCGAGACCCCUCUCACGGAGGUGGGACAGUUUUCAGGCCAGCAUUUUUCCAAACAAAGGUGCACACGUGCGUUUUAGGUGAAAUACGGCCUGGUCCCUCCGUGCCGCGGUCCGACUGGCACAAGCUAGCAGCUCUGGGGCCACAUGAGAAGAAAUGCCUUGGAGCCUAAAAAUCAGAGAGGGCUGCAAAUGAUUAACUGUUCUCUGUCCACUGAGGCUGCCUGGCUUCCCCCUCAUGGUCCCCAAACAUGAAUGAAGCAAAGGGGCUGGUGGGAACUAUGAGGGGGUCUUAAUUUCUUUCUCUAUUUUUUUUUUGAGGGUGUCUUUUAUUUUUAUUAUGCUUCAGAAUUCCUCGGCUUUUUAAUUCUUGUUUUCUUUUGUUAUGUGUGUGUGUGCGUGUGUGUGUGUGUGUGCACGUGUGUGUACACACAUCUCACUCCUAUCAAGAGUGCCGUUAUGUAAAGGUCUGGUUUUAUUUGAACCAUUGUCCCCAUUUGACAAUAUCUGCCAACAAUUCUGAGACUAUUGGCUUUUUUUUCCCUCUUCCCUUUCACUUAUUCAUUCCACAAAUGUUUCUGGAGAGCCUGGCACUGUGUUUUGCAGUGCCGGGGGCAAGUGCGUACAGCCCGGACAGAAAGUUCUUACCUCCUGAGGUCUGGCAGGAAAGCAGAAGGCAAGGCAAGUUAUAGGAAUAAAUGUGUAAUUUCAGGUAGGGAUGAAGGCUAGUGAAAGGGCUGACUUUGGUCUGGGAAGGCCAUUCCAAGGAAGUGACAUUUAAGCCCAGACUUAAAGACUCGAAAGAGACCAACUGUACAUGAUGGAAGUGAGGGGGGAUGAGCAACAUCUCGGGCAGAGAGACAAGCAAGUUCAUAGAAGCAGGGGCCCCUCUCCUUAAGGACGCAGAGUUGGCCAGGUUUCUUGGAACACAGCGGAUGAUGUGCAGAAUGGGCUCGAGAGAUUCAGAGGCAACUGUCGAGGGCUCACGAUGCAUUCAAACAGGAAAGACAUCAAUGUUGUAAGAGUGAAGUGUGGGAGGUAGGAUGGAAACAGGAUGCGGCAGGUGCCCGGGGCUAACCAGUCAUUUCUAAUCUCCUUGGCCUGUGCUGCCUUCCACUUGCUUCCCCAGCCCCCCUGGCAGCUAGAGGAGUCUGAGACAAAAUUCUAGCCAAUCUGACCUAUGCAGAAAUUUGCUAGAAGCUUCCCAGGAAAUUUUUUUUGUUUUCCUGAUCAAGAGAGAGUGAAACUGCAGGCCCUCUCCCUUCCUCCUUUCUUUUUGCCUUUAACUCAGAUGUGAUGCCUGGAGCUGCAGCAGCUAUUUUGCAACCUUGAGGGAAAGGCCAUGAGAAUCACAAAAACAGACAAGCCACACUUCCCUCCAGAUUUUUUUCAUGAUAAAAGGAGAAGAAUGGCCCCCAUUUAAGACACAGUUGGGUUUUCUGCUAUUUGUUGUCAAAAAGCACCCCUUGGGCUGGUACAUGGAGUAAAGAAUUAGGGCCCAAGAGAAGUGAGUAACAAUAUGGGUGAGUCUGAGCUCAAAAGCAGCAGCCUUGAGAUUCUACCAUGAAACACCGGAUAUGGAAGAGCUGUCAUUGAUGGUUAAAUGAACCUACUGUUUGCUUGAAUAUCUCAACUUCGAGUUCCGUAUUUAUCGGGAAGGGCUAAGGGGAAAUGAAUCAAAAUCAACAAGGAUUCUUUUUUCACAUGUGAUCCUUAUUUCAUCCAAAAGCUAGUUUUGUGGACAGACAUCACUAUUUGAGAAAGAUUGCUUUCUGGGUUUAACUCAUGUGUUUAUUGAACCUGGAUGGAGAAAGGGCCCAAGGUGAUAAAUCGUGAACAAGAGUAAGAGAAAGAAAAUUUUUCUGCACGCGCCCUGCAGAGACCUUUCUGCGGUCCCCUGGGUUUCCAGGUUUUGAAGCGCCUUGUGACAAGAGAUGCUUUGUGGAA